GAGAGAGAGACAUGCGCGCAUAUCAAUAAGCGGAGGAAAAGAAACUAACAAGGAUUCCCUUAGUAACGGCGAGUGAAGCGGGAAGAGCUCAAAUUUGAAAUCUUCAAGGUUUUACCUUGACGAAUUGUAGUUUAAAGAAGUGUUUUCUGCUGAAGUUUUGGUAAAAGUUCUUUGGAAUAGGACAUCAUAGGAGGGUGAGAAUCCCGUAUUUGACCAUUAUUUUCAGCUUUGUGAUACACUUUCAAAGAGUCGGAUUGUUUGGGAAUGCAGUCCAAAAUGGGUGGUAAAUUUCAUCUAAAGCUAAAUAUUGGCGAGAGACCGAUAGCGAACAAGUACCGUGAGGGAAAGAUGAAAAGAACUUUGAAAAGAGAGUUAAACAGUACGUGAAAUUGUCAAAAGGGAAGCGUUUGACACCAGUGUUGUUUUCUCGAAAAUCAAUUAAAAAUGGCUCGAUUUUGUAUUGUUGAGACCUUAAAAGCUCACUGUACAUUUUUCGUGUCUUUUUUAAUGCACUUUUCGUUUAACAAGUCAACAUCAGUUUCUUUUGCUGUAAAAGGGUCAUUGGAAGGUGGCUUUCUUUUCGGAGAAAGUGUUUAUAGCCUUUGGCCUCUGCAAUCGGAGAGACUGAGGUCUGCAGCGUAGACUCUUCGGGGUUAGAUACAUUUGUGCUAAGUUAUAGCUUUUUAUAGACAACUUGUUGACUAUAAUUAGUCCUUGUAGCUUACUCGCUUAUGCUAUUUUACCUACGCUUAGGAUGUUGAGUCGUAGAGCACGCAG
rnacentral:rRNA from 1 species